UUUAGUAAUUGCGAAUGAACAAGGAUAUGCUUAGCUUGACAAAUGGAGCUAUUGGCUUUGAAUUGUAUUGUGGAAAUGUAUUACCAAUUGUGGAAAUGUAUUACCACUAUUGAAAUAAAGCGUCAAUGAGGGUGAGAAUCCUGUUUGUCAUGUGCAGCCCUUUGUGCACGGUGUAUAUUUGCUGAGUCACACUCCUUGGCAUUGGAAUGCAAAGUGGGUGGUAAGUUUCAUGUAAAGGUAAACAUGCAAUUGAGACUGAUAGCACACAAGUACCAUGAGGGAAAUAUGAAAAGGACUUUGAAAAGAGAAUUAAAUGAGUUUGUAUUUGCUGAACACAAAGUAAACAGACUUGAUUUGCUUGGUGGGAGUGUUGCACUUGCUUGACAAGAGCUUUGGGCUGUGGGUGUAAUGAUUCUUUCUUUGCAUGCCAGUUUCUAUUUGUACAUCUGAUUACCUUUGCACAUGAAUGAUAAGUCUCCUGUGGGGGGUGGAUUGCAUGUGCAUGUAAUGAUUUGUGUUUUGAUAAAUGUGUCUGGUGUAUGUGUGUGUUCCUGUGCUUGGGGAUGCUUCCUUCCUUGGACUUACAAGCCCUGACACACACAUGCUGGCAAAAUGCUUCUGCUUGACCCGUCUUGAAACACGGACCAAGGAGUCUAACAGAUGUGCAAAGUUUGAAGGUGGUAUACCUUUGUGUGCAAUGAAAGUGUCAGCUGGGAUAUGUGCACCAGCACCCAAUUAAUUAGCGGACAGAGGUUUGAGUUGGAGCAUAUCUAUUAGGACCCGAAAGAUGGUGAACUAUGCCUGAACAGAAUGAAUUCAGAGGAAACUCUGAUGGAGGUUCGUAUCGAUACUGACGUGCAAAUCGUUCGUCAUAUUUGGGUAUAGGGGCGAAAGACUAAUCGAACCAUCUAGUAGCUGGUUCCCUCCGAAGUUUCCCUCAGGAUAGCUGGAGUUGCUCAGUUUUAUCAGGUAAAGCGAAUGAUUAGAGGAAUUGGGGACAGGUUUGUCUUUGACCUAUUCUCAAACUUUAAAUGGGUAAUAUGUAGUGGUUGCUGUAUGGAACUUCUAAGAUAAAU
rnacentral:rRNA from 1 species